CUUCAUUCUCUUUCUAAGGUUUUCCCUGGGAUUUUCUCACGCGCAUGGAUGCUCCAUUCCUUUGCAUGUAUGCAUGUAUGACAUACAUGCAUUCGGCGCCAUCCUCAACUCCUUCCAUCCUUCUACCCUUCUCCUAUAAUACCCUCCGUCCCUGCCUCCGUCCCUGCCUCCGUCGUUCGUCUGGAAGCAAGAAAAAAAAAACACAGAGAGAGAGAGAGAGGUAGGGAAACGACAGAGAAGGAGAGAAGGAAAUCGACGAAAUCUUCUCGCAUCUAGGGUUGCAGAAACUCUAACCAGUUUUUCUAUCCCUUUUCUCUCUCUUCAAAGCCCUACAUUCUGAAAAUCCCUAGAAUUUCCAUCCUAGGUUUCUUUCACGAGCGCCUUGAUUUGCAUUACUGGGAUUUUCUGGAGAGAAAACGGGGGGUUUCUAGGGUUUAUAGCUGAAAAAGAAUAGAAGCCUCUAAAAUCCCAGUUUUUUCCUGAAAUUUCUAGAAAUCUAUUUCGUUUUCCUGUUUGUAAAGGUGGAUCUGACCAUCGGAGAUCUUCAAGGUGCUUUGUGUUUGUCACUUCAGAGUUUUCUGGAGAGGAAUCGAGAGGUUUUCGGGUUGCUGGCUUCAGUGAUACUGAAUCCUCGGAAUUUGAGUUUUCCCAUCUCCUUUUUGGAGACAUCUACCAUUUUUUUGCUCGGAUCGGAGCUCAAUCAGUGCGGAAGCUUGGAUCUCUGGAGUUUCCAAACCUUUGGCUUGCUCAUUUUCACUGAAUUUUUCUCGUGUCCUAAAGUUAUUCGGCAAAGAAAAUGGACUGGGUGAAUUUCUCAUCAACAUUACAGUGGCCCUACCUAGCUCACAUGGCAAGAAGUUCAUGGUAAAGAUUUCCAAAGAAAAGUCUGGUGGGUUUGUCACUUGUGAGAGCCAUUCCGAAGAAAAGCGUGUUGACAAUAUAGUGGGUAUUGCAUAUGCAAUGGAUAUGCUGGAUUAUGUUGAAAAGGUUGAUAAACUAGAAAGUUCUACUAUGGGAGCAAUUGCGCAUAAGCCUACCUACUUUGUACCUGAUUUAAUGUCCGUGUGGAAUUUGCUGAGAGAGUUCCGCAUAGGAAGGUUCAUAUGGCUAUUGUUCUAAAUGAAUAUGGUGGAACUGUGGGAGUAUGUUUACAUCCUUCACAUUUUCUUUAACAAUGCUCAUGAAGUUCAAAAGUUGUUCAUGUUACUGUUUAUGUGAUUUUGGGUGUUAACUAUUUUAAUAUUGUUGCCUCAUUGAUAUUUUUUAACAUUGAAAAGUAGUGAACAAUUUUAAUAUUGCUUUUUGUAAUAAAACGGGUACCUACUCUGGUUGACUGCCAGAACUUUUACAUGGCGAGAAACAGCCACAACAUCUUGCUUUCCUAGCUUGGUUUUUAGGAGGAC